GAAAAAAGGCUAAAUCAAAGUGGAUAGGAGAAGCUGAGAUACAGUCUGGGCAUAAACCUCACGUCCAGCACAGCUUCCCACCUUCAGGAAGGAACUCACAAACCUAGAGCUUCCUCCUGAAGAGCAAAGAGUUUGUACCCCACAUAAGGCACCUUGGCUUUUAAGACCUGCACCUGAGAGAUGAGCUCCCAAGACAUGUAUCUGGCUUUGGAAAUCAACAGACUUGCAUCCUGAGACCCCAAAGUCUACAGUAAACCGAGAAUGGCUCUUAAAGGGCUUGCCCCAGAGCCCAACACAGAAGCAGCUGUUCGAAAACUUUUUAUGUGAAGGAAAUGCAUUUACUAGUCUUAAAGUGUCGGCCAGAGAGGUAGGGGAUGUGCUAAGGUUACUCUCUAGGGAUAGAAGCUGGUGGGCCCCAUUUCUGCAUUCCCCCUCUACUCUGCACCAAAGGACCAGUAUCUCCUGGGGGGGUAGCUUUUACACAGGUCUGGUGUUCUGGUUUUUGUGACUGCCACUCAGGGGACACUUCUUGACUGGUUGGCUCUGGAGGCCAGGAAACUUGUGUUCCUGGGACCAUGGAACUAUAACAUUCAGAGAGUUCUUGGCAGGACCCCCGCCCCCCGCCCACCCGGGGCACCGGGCAGACAGCAGACUGAAACAAACCUCCAGUCUCUCCAAGAAAGAGGCCUGUUUCCUUGUCCAGGAGUUUUGGCCUGAAGGACAGGAUUCUGGUCUGAUACAUUUAUAGGGGCCGACAGAAGUGCUCUCAGGGAACAGAGGCCAACAGAGGCUGAUGGAUGCUGUCUUUACAUUCUCUCCCUGCCUUGCUCCAGCUUAGCGUUAUCUCCCAGAAAGGAGCUUAUACUCUUGUCUGGUGCCCCUAUUUUUGCAGGUGCUGCCAGGAGAUAGCUCUACAUUGCCUGGUUCUGGUGGCCAGAGGUGCGUAUGUUUGCAGGACCCACAGGACUGUAACCAAUGGAGAAAACAUUCUUAAACAGCUACCAUCCUCAAGGCACAAGAAGUAACAGACUGAGGAGCUCAGUUUUUCUGUGAAAGAGGUCUACAAGCUUAUCACGUCUGCAGCCUGAGGGCUCACCAGGAUUUCCAGUCAAGAAGGUGGAGUAGUAGGACCAUGACCUGGCCUCUCCUCCUGACUACAGUGAAACCACAACUGACUGCUAAACAUCCAUCAGAAAAAAAAAAGAAGACUGGGACCUAGCAAAACAGAUCUUCAACUGGAAACAUAAAGAGGGAACCUCAGCAGGACGGUAGGAGGGGCGUGCUUGUGAUAUAAUUGGGCCUCGUACCCUGUGGGUGGGUGAUCCUUACAGAGGCCCUUCCACAGGAGUGAGAGUUCUGAGCCCCCCAUCAGGCUCCCCCAACCCGGGGUCCUGGCAUUGGGAGGAGGAAGAAACCCCAAGACAGACAUCUGGUUUUGAAGGCCAGUGGGGCUUAGCUCCAGGAGCCCCACAAGGACUAGGGAAAACGGCCUUCACUCUCUUGGGAAGCAUACACAGAAUCUCGCAUGUGCCGGGUCCAAGGGCAGAGAUAGUGAUUUCAUAGGAACCUGGGCCAGACCUGCCUGCUGGUUUUGGAAGGUCUCCUGGGGACAUAGGGGUGGCUGUGGCUCACCCAGGGGACAUAAAAGCUGGUGGCAGACAUUCCAGAAGUGUUAAUCUACAUGAGCUUUCUGGGAGGCUAUCUUGAUUGGAUCAUUAGCACCAACACCUAGCCCCACCCAGCAGCCUGUAGGGAAGCCUCAGGCCAAAACAAUAUACUGGGUGGGAACACAGCCCCACCUGUCAGCAGAAUUCCUGAGCCAUAAACGCCUCUAGACAUGACCCUACCCACCAGAGGUCCAAAACCAAGUUCCACCCAGCAGUGGGCAGGCACUGCUAGGAAACCUGCAUAAUCCUCUAGUCCAGCCUCAUCCACCAGGGGGCAGAUAUCAGAAAAAAAAAAAAAAACCAAUCCUAAAGCCUGUGGAAGGAAUCCACAAACGCAGGCCAGACUCUACCCUGGGACCAGUUGGACCCUGGCCCUUGGGUGACAAGAGAAGAGUGUACUGCUGGGACACAUAGGACAUCUUCCACAGAGGGCCACCUCUCCAAGGUUGAGAAAUGUUAACUAACCUACCUAAAAAUACAAAGAUAGACAAUAUGAGGCAGCAGAGGAAUAUCUCCCAGGCCGAGACACAAGAUAAAAUUCCAGAAGAAAUAAGUGAUGAGGAGAUAGGCAUUUUAUUUGAGAAAGAGUUUAAAGUAAUGAUGGCGAAGAUGUUCAGAGAACUCAAGAGGAGUAUAGAUGCACAGAGCAGUUUUUAGCAAACAGUUGGAAAAUAUAAAGAAUACCCAGAGAUGAAGAAUUAACAUCACAGAAGAGAAUAACACACUAGAAGAAACCACGACUAGACUAGAUAUGAGGCAGAAUAGAUCAAUGAGCUAAAAGAUAGAUUAGUUGAAAUCACUACUGCAGAACAGAAAAAAGAAACAAAAGAAAUGAGGAUAGUUUAACAGAACUCUGGGACAACAUGAAGCACACUAAUAUUUGCAUUAUAGGGGUUCCAGAAAGAGAAGAGAGAGAGGACCUGAGAAAAAUUUUGGAGCCAUAAUAACUGAAAACUUCCUCAACUUGGGAAAGGAAACAGUCACCGAAGUCUAGGAAGCACAGAGUUCCACACAGGAUCAGCCCAAAGAGGAACACGAUGUGGCACAUAGUAAUCAAAUUGACAAAAACUAAGGAUAAGGAGAAAAUAUUAAAAUUAGCAAGAGAAAAGCAAUAAAUAACAUACAAAGAAACUCCCAUAAGGUUAUCAGCUGAUUUUUCAGCAGAAACUCUACAGGGCAGAAGGGAGUGGCAUGACGUACUUAAAGUGAUGAAAGGGAAAAACUUAAAAGCAAGAAUACUCUAUCCAGCAAGGCUCUCAUUCAGAUUUGAUGGAGAAAUCAAAACACUUCACAGAUAAACAAAGGCUAAAAGAAUUCAGCACCACCCAACUAGCUUUACAACAAAUGUUAAAGGAACUUCUCUAGUCAUCAAACCACAAGAAAAGAAAACAAAAAGAAGAGGAAAAAAAUGGCCUACAAAAGACUGCUUUGGCAGUUCGGGGUCUUUUAUGGUUCCAUAUAAAUUUUGGAAUUGUUUGUUCUAGUUCUGUGAAAAAUGUGAGUAUUUUGACAGGGGUUGCAUUGGAUCUUGUAGAUGCUUUGGGCGGUACUGCCAUUUUGUUAAUGUUGACUCUUCUAAUCCAGGAGCACAGGAUCUCCUUCCAUUACUUUGUAUCAUCUUCAAUUUCUUUCAUCAAUGUUUUACAGUUUUCAGAGUAUAGGUAACUGCCUUGGUUAAGUUUAUUUCUAGGUAUUUUGUUGUUUUUGAUACAAUGGAAACGUUUAUGCCAGUUUUAAAUUCUGGUUUUUGAAGCGAAAAGAAAAAAAAGUGAACAAAGGGCUGCAAAUGGCCAUAAGGAUAAAUAUCUUUCCUUAUGGGUGAGUUGUAUGCCAGUACAUGUAUAUGCUGCAUCUUCUUUAUCUGUUCAUCUAUUGAUGUGCACUUAGGAUGCUUCCUUAUCUUGGCAAUUAUAAUGUUGCUGUUAAUAGCAGGGUGUGUGUAUCUUUUUGAAUUAAUUCUUAUUUUUGUGGUUGGCUUUAUUCUUUUGAUAACUAUGUAAGUUUAAAAAGCUAAAGCUCUAAACAUUCUUAGAAACAAUGAACAGUACAUACAUGUAAAAUUUUAAAACCGUGCAGUAUAUCGUGUAUGUGCAAACUGUAACAAUUCUACCUAAUAAAAGGGAAAAUGAAAAGAAAAGAAAAGAAAAACAAAGCUCACCAGUACCUCCCAGAAUGGAGACUGUACACUCAUCCAGAGCCCUGAUUUUUGGGACUGUCACCCAGGGGACACCUCCAGAUCACCUGGCUCUGGUGGCCAGCAGGACUUACACUUGCAGUCCCACAGGGCUAUAUAUAUUGGCAUACUUCGAAAGCUGCUGCCUAAGGGGCUGACGUUCAAUUAGCCUGAAUCUAAGUGCCAGCUAAGAUCCUCCUGUUUGGCACAGUGACAAGUCUUGGCACACCCUCAAAAUAAAAUAGGCUGCUUGGCCAGUCACAAAGGUUUGUUUGAGAGACAACUAAGAGCUAGGGCAAAGUUGAAUGAAAAGGUUCAUCUCCUACACAAGACCACUACUUCAAGACUAGGAGAAGGACCAGAAACCAACACAGAGAUUUAAGCAAAAUGCAUAUUAACAUUUCUCCCAGGAGGAGAAGGUGAGAGAAAGGGGGCAGAAAACUUAUUUGAAGAAAUAAUGGCUGAAAAAUUUCCUAAUCUGAGGAAGGAAACACAUCCAGAUCCAAGAAGCCCAGAGAGUUCCAAAUAAGAGAAACUCAGAGACCCACACCAAGACAUAUAAUUAAAAUAUGAAAAGAACAAGGAAGAAAUCUUAAAAGCAUCAAGAGAAACACAACUUGUUAUAUACAAGGAAAUCCCUAAAAGGCUAUGAGCAGAUUUUUCAGCAGAAACUUUGAAGGUAUUCUUGCCACGCCUCUUUGGUCUGCAAAGUGCUAAAAGGAAAAAAACUUCCAAACAAGAAUACUCUGUUGGGCUAAGUUAGUUUUCAGAACUGGUGCACAAAAGCUAAAGGAGUUCAUCACCACUAAACUGGCCUUCCAGUAAACAUUAAAGGAACUUUAAGCCAAAAAGAAAGGAUGCUAGAAGUAGCUAGAAAACACAUGAAAGUAUAAAUGUCACUAGUAAACAUAAAUACAGUAAAGGUAGUGGAUUAAUCAUUUAUAAAGCUAGUAUGACGAUUAAACAACAAAUACAGGACAAAUAACUAUAACUACAAUCAUUACUUAAGAGAUACACAACAUUAAAAGAUGUAAAAUGUGGCAAAACAUAAAACAUCAAAAAUAUAAAACAUGGGGGAAUAGAGUUAAAAACCUAGAGCUUUCAAGUGCAUUCAAACUUAAGUCGUUACACAUAAGCCUUAUGGUACCAGAAAGCAAGAGAGGAACAGAGAAGAACUACAAAACAGCCAGAAAACAGUUAACAAAAUGGCAGCAAGUACAUACCGAUCAAGAAUUGCGCUAAAUGUAAAUAGGUGGAAAGCUCCUUAAAUCAUAGUUUUGGCUAUGAUUUUUUUGGAUCUGAUUCCAAACAGAAAGGCAACAAAGGUAAAAAUAAAUAAGUGAGACUGUAUCAAACUAAAAAGCUUCCACACAGCAAAGGAAACCAACAAAAUGAAAAGGCAACCUACAGAAUGGGCGAAAAUAUUCACAAACCAUAUCUGAUAAAGGGCUAAUAUCCAAAAUAUAUUUUUAAAAAACAUACAACUCAAUAGCAAAAAACUACAAUCCAAUUAAAAAACGGGCAGAAGAUCUGAAUAGACAUUUUUUCAAGGAAGACAGAUGGCCAACGGGUAUGUGAAAAGAUACUCAAUAUCACUAAUCAGGAAAAUGCAAAUCAAGACCACAAUGAGAUAUCACCUCACACCUGGCAGAAUGGCUGUCAUCAAAAAGUCUACAAAUAACAAAUGUUGGUGAUGAUGUGGAGAAAGGGGAAUCCUUGUCCACUGCUGGCAGAAAUGUAAAUUGGUGCAACUACCAAGGAAAAAAGUAUGAUGGUUCCUUAAAAAAUUAAAAAUAGAACUACCAUUAUGACCUUGUAAUUUCACUUCUGGGUAUUUAUCCAAAGAAAACUAGAACACUAACUCAAAAACAUGUGCACCCCCAUGUUCUUUCAGCAUUAUUUAUAAUAGCCAAGACAUGGAAACAAUCUAAGUGUCCACUGAUGGGUAAAUGAUAAAGAAGCUGUGAGAUAGAUAUACACACAAUGGAAUAUUAUUCAGCCAUAAAAAGUUGAGAUCUUGCCAUUUGCAAUAACAUGGAUUGACCUCAAGGGCAUUCAUUAUGCUAAGUGAAGUAAGAGUAUGAUUUCACUUAUAUGUGGAAUCUUAAAACACAAACUACAAAAACCUAAGUUCAUAGAUACAGAGAAAAGAUUGGUGGUUACCAGAGGCAGAGGGUGGGAGGUGGGUGAGGGAGUCAAAAGUUACAAAUUCCAAGUUAUAAAGUAAGUCAUGGAGCUAUAAUGUAUAGCAUGGUGACUAUACUGUAUUGCACAUUUGAAAGUUGCUAAGAGUAGAUCUUAAAAGUUCUCAUCACAAGAAAAAAAAAUUCCAUUUCUACAUCUCUGGAAGUUAAAUUUUUUAGAAACCAAUUUUCUUUCAAAUUAUAAGAAAUUUAAAUUUAAUGCUUACAAAAGUUUCUGCUGUGACUGACUUACUUGGAUCACUUCUUGGAUUAGAAUGGCCAAGGACCAUGAAAGAUGAGCCAUAGCUACCCAUAUUAAAUUAUUCAACAGUCAGUCCUCUGCACUACCUGAAGAGCAAACGUGGAUGAAGGGCAAAUACAGAGGAAUUUGGAGCUAUUAUAUGAAAAAACAAAAAAUUCAAUGAGGUAGAAAUGUCAAAAUAAUGUAGAAAACUACAAGUACCUAUUCUACAUGUUCUAUGGUAUAAUGUAGAAUUUCAGUGGGAUAAGUACUGUUUUACAUUUAUAUUAUACUUAAUAAAUUACCAAGCCUAUUCACAUAAAAAAUAUAUAAACAGCUUUAUAUGAAGUCAGCAGACUGGUAAAAACUGGGUCAUAAACUACAGUAUCUUGGCUAUUCUUCAGGGAGUUCAGCAGAAUAAACUUCUGCAAUUAUGAUUUUGGUCCCUGUCUCCCCAUGUGAGACCCAUGUCUUAAAUUUCUGUUUAAUAUUUCAGCAAUCACCUACCACUAAAGGAAUACUGUUCUUUGUUUUAUUUUAUUUGAUGAAACAAGAGACCCAAACACAUUCUCUGAAAAUUACUUUAAAGAUAGCUUGCCAGUGAGGCCACUGUAGGUUACAAAGCCAGAUGUCUGCCACGGGCUCCAGUUUCUGAGAACCGGGGAAACGAAACCAGAGGUCCCCCACCCAACACAACUGAGAUGGCAGGUCUGACCGUAGGUUAGAGGCAAUAAACUGCCACACCUAAGGCCCUACCCUAAUUCCUUCAAUAAAACAGCAUCUGUUUUAAAUAUCAGAGGAAGGAAUGAAAGAUGAUGGCUUGAACAUACAAUAGGGACACAAGAAAUGCCUCUUCCCUUGUAUAGUCAAAGUGCUGUCUUAGUUGAAACUGUUUCUUUAAAGUAUAGAAAUUAAGGCAGGAAAACAUAAUCACCCUUUCCUUCACCCUCCACUCCCUACCCAAGGUGUAAAGGUAGUGAUAGUGAUGAUAAGGAACAAGAGGACUUGCUCAAGAGAUGACAAGAUAAGCCAAAAACAAUAGGGAGAUAACAGUUUUAAAACUGGAGGGCUUGCAGACAUCAGACCCCUUUUCAUUUUAUUCCAGCAUAUUUUUUUAAAAGACGUGAAAAGAACGAAACAUUCCUUUUCAUCUUUUUGCUUUCAGUGUAAGCACAUGUUUUUUGAAGUUAAGACCCAUCUUUGUUCUUUGCAAUCUGUGUAAGUCUAGAAAUCUUAGGUGUACGCAGGCCAGGGGCAAGUAGAGAACUCUACUUCCACCCAGUCAUGUUUAUAUAUAAUUAACGUAGCUGUAUGUUAGUCGACCUUGGAGGCUGAAAGUUGAGUUUUCCAAAUGAAGAAUUUUGUCAGAUUAAGGGGUAAAAAAGAUCCAAACAAUGAAGAAUGUUGAAAGUACCACCUAAAUGGAGUCUAGCUACAUAGGAACUUAGCAUGCAGCGUGACUGCGUUUCACUUUAGGACCCCAGAAUAUCACCUUUAAAGUGAUAAGUUUUUUGCAGUAGCAUUCUUGUUUAGUACACAUAAAGCAGGGUUUUUUGUUCCCAAGCACCCUACCAAUGCCAAGGACCUUUUUCCUGCUUCCUAAAGGUGACCUUUUAAACAGGCAGCCGUAUAUAGUACCAUGUUUACGGACACUUCCACAAGAUAAAGUACCGCAGCAGAAAAGCAUAUUGUCCUAAAUGCACCAUAUGGAUCGAAAUGUCUCUGUUUACGUGUAAGUGGCGAAAAUAAAUCAGAGUGAUAUCUAGACAAAGCUACACUUUGAUAUAUGAAGAAUCUGUACAACUACAUGUUUAUAGUAUGAUGAAGCCUAUGGUGCCAGAUAAGAAAAAUGCAUUUUGCAGGUAGACCUAAAUCUUUGUACUGUUGUGAUUUUUAACUGACCUGUCUCUUUUCAUCAUGGAGUAGCUUCACGACCAUAAAUAUAGGAAACUACUGACAGUAUAACUCAUCCCUUGAAAAUAGUUUGUUCUUAGCAGUUAUGACAGUUAAAAAAAAGGCUUUACUUACCCCAGACAAGGACAAUGUAUCUCAGUGGAAUGAAGUACAGGAUGACUGUGAACGCACAGAGGGCCACAAUGGCCAGCCAGCUUAAGAAUGGGACAGUCCAGUUGAAAGUGCUGAAUGAGAAAUUAACACAUCAGCAAUCUGAGCACUUCAUACUUUUUUCAAACAAAGAUUAAAAUAAAUGUGAUUCUGAUUAAAAAUCUGGACUAAGGAUCUAGUAAAGACUGAAAUUCUCUCUGGAAGAGAUGCCAGUUGUCAUAGGCUAUAGGACGACACAGGUGAGUCAUAAUUGGCUCAGCUCCAUGAACACAGGGCCUGGGUAAAGGGUGAUGCCACCAACCCCUCCAGAUUGUCCCAGGUGACUUCAGGAUCCAUAGUCUUGCACUACUUGUGUGACUCCCAUGGUUUAAAAAUCUUUUUCUACUUCUAAAACUAGUACUCAAUCUUGUUUUCUCCAAAUUUUCAUAGAGGAGAAUGCCCUUGGCCCUACCAUUCUUUCUUCUAUGAACUGUCAUACAGAAUUCCCCACACUGGAAAAAAAAUGUUGCCAGCAAUUGUCCGUGGACCUAAAGCUUACACUAUUGUGUAACUCAGAACUGCAGAGACCCUCAGAGGAAUAAUUACUUCUCACUUCAGCUAUGUUUCAAAUGGAACUAGGUUUCUCCCAGAAAUACAUACAUAAUAAAGAAAUAAAAUACCAUAUGAUAUCACUCAUAUUUGAAAUCUAAAAAAAAAAAAGACAAACUUAUUUGCAAAACAGAAAGACUCUCAGAGAACAAAC